AUUGAACGCUGGCGGCAGGCCUAACACAUGCAAGUCGAACGAGUGGCGGACGGGUGAGUAAUGUCUGGGAAACUGCCUGCUGGAGGGGGUUAACUACUGGAAACGGUAGCUAAUACCGCAUACCAUCGGAUGUGCCCAGAUGGGUUUAGCUAGUAGGUGGGGUAAAGGCUCACCUAGGCGACGAUCCCUAGCUGGUCUGAGAGGAUGACCAGCCACACGGGAACUGAGACACGGUCCAGACUCCUAAGGGAGGCAGCAGUGGGGAAUAUGGCACAAUGGGCGCAAGCCUGAUACAGCCAGGCGGCGUGUAUGAAGAAGGCCUUCGGGUUGUAAAGUACUUGCAGCGGGGAGGCGUUACCCGCAGAAGAAGCACCGGCUAACUCCGUGCCAGCAGCCGCGGUAAUAC
rnacentral:rRNA from 1 species